UUUGUUCUGAGCAAAGCAAACUAAAGGACAGACUACAUUUUUAUUUACUAUUUAGUGACAGAGUGAGACUACCAUAAGACAAACAGUCUCAUGACAUAAUUGGAAAAGUCAAAAUACAAAAGAAACAUAAAUCCACACAAGUCCUAAUAGAAUGUUCUGUUUGGAUUACUAUACCCAUCAUAGAAUUUAUUCUGAGAGCAAACUGCAGGACAGACUACAUUUUUAUUCACUAUUUAAUGCUUAUUUGUUUCCAUCUGGUAUAAUCUAAUCACAGCAUAUAACGGUCCAGUCCAUUAAUAAUUGUAAUAAUUGCUUGAUUACUUUAUAAAGGACAAAGUAGCUUGAUCUCAGCUAAAUUAGUACAAGAGAGCUUGAAGCACUAAGAAAAUUCAUCCAAAUCCAAAUAAGCUACCUCAG
rnacentral:lncRNA from 1 species